UUUUUUUUUUUUUUUUUUUUUUUUUGCUGCAUCACUCAUUUAAGGACUGAUGGUCGCGCAUCCGUGAAGGGCGGGCGCGGACACAUUGUAAGCAAGGAAAAG
rnacentral:ribozyme from 13 species